rnacentral:rRNA from 1 species
AAUACAGAGGGUGCGAGCGUUAAUCGGAAUUACUGGGCGUAAAGCGCACGUAGUCGGCUUUGCAAGUCGGGUGUGAAAUCCCCGGGCUCAACCUGGGAACUGCAUCCGAGACUGCAUUGCUAGAGUAUGGGAGAGGGAAGCGGAAUUUCUGGUGUAGCAGUGAAAUGCGUAGAUAUCAGAAGGAACAUCAGUGGCGAAGGCGGCUUCCUGGACCAAUACUGACGAUCAGGUGCGAAAGCGUGGGGAGCAAACAGGA